CGCCGUUGUAAAGAAGAUUUUCCAAACAGCCGUGAAAGUUUCUGUUCAACCCGACCGAACUCCAAGAGCCGAGGCUCAGGUCUGCUCCCACGCUCAUCUGUGACGAGAAACGACAUGAGAAGCGUGGCAGGAAAUGCAGCCUCGUCUCCUCUCCUUUGCUCUCUGGGAAUAAAGUGUGCAGCGUAUCCCAGUUUACUGGCUGCACAGUGCUGUCACAUGUCAGAACCAGAACCGGAUCUACCCUACAUGACAGAGGAAGACCAGAAAAGGACUCUGGCUUUUCACAAAAUCAGUCACAACACAAUCAGCAACUUUUAAACAUCAGCAAUCUCCACAGAAACGACUCCAGAAAUAAGUGUCUGAAGAAGAAGAAGAAGCCACGUUUCAAACCACAGAACAAGCCGAACCAGUCGAGCCUCACAACAACACGCGAGCCAAACUAAUCAGCUUGUCACUGAGUCCAACAUGGCCUGUGUGUUACUGGAAUGAGUCAGCCGUGGGCUGUAAAAUUAAGCACAGCUGGCUGAGCGUGUCGCGCCUUGGAUGAAGGCUAAGCUGUUUAUUUACGACCCUGUAAGACUGAACACAAGUGAGACGCCUUCCUAUAAAUCACCGUGGAUGGUGGAGAACAACGCGGCGAGUCGAUACUGCAGCAUCAAACAAGACACACAGCUCAUCAUUCACUGGGAGAGCUGAGCUGACAGACUGUAUCCAGAAUGAGUCAUGGUCUGCGUCCACUUAAGACUCACGAGUGAGUCCGAACACUAAAUCCAGACUGAGGACGAUCUCGUCUUUCAUCCUUAAAGUCGACAGUUCGUGGUGAGGUGUCUCCUUGAAAAACUUCUACUUAUAGAGACGAUUGAUAAAUAAAUGUAACAUACAAGUUCAUGCGGGAACAUGCAGUUCCUCUAACGUCCACCUGAGGCUGGCUCCAGAAGUGAGUCAGUCUCCAUAAGUCCCCAUGUCCAAAUGUCCAACUUCACAGCAGAAAUAAACAU